AAUAGCGAUUACUUAAUGACUGAACAUUGAACCGAUUUGUUUUUUAAUGCUCUUUACCGAGUGUUUUUAACGAUCGGGCUGUUUACUUUGAAAAAAUUAGAGUGCUCAAAGCAGGCAUAUCGCCUAAAUAAUCUUGCAUGGAAUAAUGGAAUAUGAACUAGGUUCUAUUCUGUUGGUCUUUUGAACCUAAGUUAAUGAUUAAAAGGGACAGACGGGGGCAUUUGUACUGCGGCGCUAGAGGUGAAAUUCUUGGACCGUCGCAAGACAAACUACAGCGAAAGCAUUUGCCAAGAAUGUUUUCAUUAAUCAAGAACGAAAGUUAGAGGUUCGAAGGCGAUCAGAUACCGCCCUAGUUCUAACCAUAAACGAUGCCAACCAGUGAUCAGUCUGAGUACCUUUAUUGACUCGACUGGAAGCUUCCGGGAAACCAAAGUUUUUGGGUUCCGGGGGAAGUAUGGUUGCAAAGCUGAAACUUAAAGGAAUUGACGGAAGGGCACCACCAGGAGUGGAGCCUGCGGCUUAAUUUGACUCAACACGGGGAAACUCACCCGGCCCGGACACUGAAAGGAUAGACAGAUUAAGAGCUCUUUCUUGAUUCAGUGGGUGGUGGUGCAUGGUCGUUCUUAGUUGGUGGAGUAAUUUGUCUGGUUAAUUCCGAUAACGAACGAGAUUUUAACCUAUUAAAUAGAAUUUAGUUUCUUAAUUGCAACUAAACGUCUUCUUAGAGGAACAGGCGGAGUUUUAGCCGCACGAGAAAGAGCAAUAACAGGUCUGUGAUGCCCUUAGAUGUCCGAGGCUGCACGCGCGCUACAAUGAAGGGGUUAGUAUGCAUUAUUACCCUUCUCUGAGAAGAGUGGGUAACCAUUUGAAAAUCCUUCGUAACAGGGAUUGGGCAUUGUAAUUAUUGCCCAUGAACGAGGAAUUCCCAGUAAGCGUGAGUCAAAAACUUGCGUUGAUUACGUCCCUGCCCUUUGUACACACCGCCCGUCGCUACUACCGAUUGAAUG
rnacentral:rRNA from 1 species